CUCUGAUUAAUCCUCUUAUGUGCUGAUCUCAUUUUAGCCUGGUGUUGACUGUCUGUUUACUGUAUUCCUAUAGUCCUCGCAGAGAUAAAGAUCUCUCUGGGUCUGUAACGCCUUCCCCAGGGCGAGGGGGCUCCUGCCUGCUGACACCAGUGGAGCACCGCAGAGGGGAGGACCAAGGUACCCAAUGCCCCGUGGUGCCGCUGCCAAGCUCCUGCCCUGGAGCCCUGGUGCCUCCUGACGGUACCAGGUGCAUGCAAGGGGGUCCCAUCUCUGCCACAUUCAC
rnacentral:lncRNA from 14 species